CACGCCGUAAACGAUGGGUACUAGGUGUAGGGGGUAUCGACCCCUUCUGUGCCGGAGUUAACACAAUAAGUACCCCGCCUGGGGAGUACGACCGCAAGGUUGAAACUCAAAGGAAUUGACGGGGGCCCGCACAAGCGGUGGAGCAUGUGGUUUAAUUCGACGCAACGCGAAGAACCUUACCAGGUCUUGACAUCCUCUGCAAACCCAAGAGAUUGGGUGUUCGAUCUUCGGAUUGACAGAGAGACAGGUGG
rnacentral:rRNA from 1 species